AAAACUCCCAGACAACUGAAGCAUGUGCUGCCAAUGCAAAGUGUGUUCAUGUAAAUGAGUGUGAUGGUCACGUCAGAUAAUGCAAAAACAAAAGUUAGAUGUUCCUUAUGCAGGAGUUUGCAUCUGAAAAAUGUUACAUGUGUCAUAUUUGUCUGAUGCUAAACGUCUCUGAUAAUUGAAUGCAGUAUGAGAGAGAGCAGCAUCAACAUAAGAGACAGUAGAAUUAUCACCAUGUUCAACAUGAUGAAUGAGGUUAAAGCUGGUCCCACAGUGAAGCCUUCUAUGACUCUGCUGCCUCCGUCCUCUCUGCAGAUCUCUGGAAACUCAACCGCACUGCUCUGCCUGAUCAGUUCUUACUCUCCAGAGGGGGCGCUGCUGAGCUGGACUCUGGAUGGGUCAGAGGUCACAGAGGGGGUUCUGACCAGUGCAGAGAGUGAGCAGGACGGCCGCUACAGCCGCAAUAGCGUCCUGACCCUCAGCAAAGCACACUGGGACGAGGCAGAGGUGUUCGUCUGCAGAGUAACUCAUGAUGGAGAUCUUCAUCAGGUCUCGUUCCGCAAGAGUCGCUGUUAAGAGUGUUGAAUGUUGAUGUUUCUUCUAAAGAUGAGUUGUAUCCGAGUGUCUCGCAGCUUUAGUGAUUUACAACUGAAUCUUUUAAUGUGUUGUGUUUGUUACAUUCAAUAAAGCUUCUGAACAAGA